rnacentral:rRNA from 1 species
AUUUGAUCCUGGCUCAGGAUGAACGCUGGCGGCGUGCUUAACACAUGCAAGUCGAACGAACCUUCGGGUUAGUGGCGGACGGGUGAGUAACGCGUGAGAAUCUGCCCUCAGGAGGGGGAUAACGGCUGGAAACGGCCGCUAAUACCCCAUAUGCCGAGAGGUGAAAUGAAUUUCGCCUGAGGAUGAGCUCGCGUCUGAUUAGCUAGUUGGUGUGGUAAAGGCUCACCAAGGCAUCGAUCAGUAGCUGGUCUGAGAGGAUGAUCAGCCACACUGGGACUGAGACACGGCCCAGACUCCUACGGGAGGCAGCAGUGGGGAAUUUUCCGCAAUGGGCGCAAGCCUGACGGAGCAACGCCGCGUGAGGGAUGAAGGCCUCUGGGCUGUAAACCUCUUUUAUCAAGGAAGAAGAUCUGACGGUACUUGAUGAAUAAGCCACGGCUAAUUCCGUGCCAGCAGCCGCGGUAAUACGGGAGUGGCAAGCGUUAUCCGGAAUUAUUGGGCGUAAAGCGUCCGCAGGCGGUCUUGAAAGUCUGUUGUUAAAGCGUGGAGCUCAACUCCAUUUCAGCAAUGGAAACUAGAAGACUAGAGUGUGGUAGGGGCAGAGGGAAUUCCCGGUGUAGCGGUGAAAUGCGUAGAUAUCGGGAAGAACACCAGUGGCGAAGGCGCUCUGCUGGGCCAUAACUGACGCUCAUGGACGAAAGCCAGGGGAGCGAAAGGGAUUAGAUACCCCUGUAGUCCUGGCCGUAAACGAUGAACACUAGGUGUCGGGGGAAUCGACCCCCUCGGUGUCGUAGCCAACGCGUUAAGUGUUCCGCCUGGGGAGUACGCACGCAAGUGUGAAACUCAAAGGAAUUGACGGGGGCCCGCACAAGCGGUGGAGUAUGUGGUUUAAUUCGAUGCAACGCGAAGAACCUUACCAGGGUUUGACAUCCUGCGAAUCCCUUGGAAACUUGGGAGUGCCUUCGGGAGCGCAGUGACAGGUGGUGCAUGGCUGUCGUCAGCUCGUGUCGUGAGAUGUUGGGUUAAGUCCCGCAACGAGCGCAACCCACGUCUUUAGUUGCCAGCAUUAAGUUGGGCACUCUAGAGAGACUGCCCGUAUAAACCGGAGGAAGGUGUGGAUGACGUCAAGUCAUCAUGCCCCUUACAUCCUGGGCUACACACGUACUACAAUGCUACGGACAAAGGGCAGCAAACUCGCGAGAGCUAGCAAAUCCCAUAAACCGUGGCUCAGUUCAGAUCGUAGGCUGCAACUCGCCUACGUGAAGGAGGAAUCGCUAGUAAUCGCAGGUCAGCAUACUGCGGUGAAUACGUUCCCGGGCCUUGUACACACCGCCCGUCACACCAUGGAAGUUGGCCACGCCCGAAGUCGUUACUCCAACCCGCAAGGGAGGAGGAUGCCGAAGGUGGGGCUGAUGACUGGGGUGAAGUCGUAACAAGGUA